UUAAUAACUUAUAGUUCAUAAUCUUAGACUUUAUUAAAAUUCAGAAAAAAAUAUUAAAUCAUAUGGUGUAAUAGUAUAAUAUCAUUAAUUAUAAUUUUCCCAGAAUUCUAAAUUGGACAAUUGAAUACUUUUGAUAACUCAAACUUUUGUAAGUAUAAAAGAAGCAAAUGUAGUUUCAAGCUUGAUUCGACAGUGCUCCUGCACAACAGCACUUGGUAUAAGCAAAUGUAGGUUCAAAAUGUACUAAAAUUUUAAAUUUUAAAAGUUAUAUGGAAAUAUUCAUACACACAUAUAUAAUAAAAAAGUUUGAUUUCUGUUUUAUGUUUUCUUAUUCAUAUUUUAUAUCGAUCAUAAAAUUUACUCCUAGUGAUAUGAUUUUUUUGGCUACUCCACUGGUUGGAGGUGUGAAAUCAUUAAAAAAAAAAGAUUAGCUAUUGUGCAUGCUAAUUAAUUCAGUUGAUAAAAUCUCUUGAGUGAAAAUAAAAGAUUUGAAAUUUAAACUUCGCUCAGAUGGGUAGGGAGAUAAACCAACAAUUAUCAUGUGCGGAUAUAAUUUUGUGGGUCAUUUCCUCAAAACUUAAGAUUAUUUCAAAAAACGAAAAAGGUUAAUUGAAUGAAAUUUAUCAGGUGGAAAUAAGAGGUAUGAGAUUCAAACUUUGUUCACGUGGGUCGGUUGAUAAACCAGCAAUUAACAUAUUCGCACAUAAUAUUGCAACUAUUUCCUCAAAAUCUAUCAUUAUUUCAAAAAAGAAGAGAAAAAGAAAAGGUUAAUUGAGCCAAAUUUCUAUCAUGCAUGCUUCCAUAAAAUUCGAUUCCUUACGUGUUCUAGUUUCUUCCAAUUUGUGGUACAUUCGCAACUGCAAUCUGAAGUCAUAAGAGUGGCCAUGUUUCUCAUAUUUUCACCUCUCAAUUUGAUUCUUCAAAUUGAUUAAAAAAAAAAAGAAAGGAAAAAAAGGUCGAAAUGGCAUAAAGUUCAACAAUUUGUGACUUUGCUUCUUUAAAGUGAUUUUACUUUAUUGCUCAAACGUUAACCCUUGCAUGUUGCAUCUCAUGCACUAUUUGUGGCCUUGGUUUUUCAGUUCUUCAUUUUUUUUCUCUCUUUAAACAUCUACUAAGAGGUAAGCGCCGAAAAGUGUUGAUUCCCCCUUUAUCUUUUUUUAUUUUUCUUCUUUGGAAUCUCCAAUUAUAGCCACUUGAGCUUUAUCCAUUCCGAUCUGCUUUUGAUAAUUUUUGUUCUAUUUGUAGGGGUGUCAUUUUCUUGUUACGAAAACUUAUUGCGACAAGUAGUUCAAAUUUGGAAUUUUCAAAGUCAUCGUGAAUUUCAUUGACAACUAAACAUUAAUUUUAGUUGGACUUUCGAUAUAAAAAAGUGCGUAUGUGUGGUGCGUGCGGGUGUGUGUAUAUAAGAUAUUGAAUUUGUUAAGGUUUAGAAAAAUUAUUGAAUCGUAUGGUUUAAUAAUAUAAUGAAUGUGAAAGUUACCAAAACACAUGGUUUAAGAGUAUAAUAAUAUUAUACGAUUAAAUCAUAUGAUUUAAUAGUUCCCGAAUUUUAGUAAAGUUUAAGAUCCUACACUAGAUCAACAAUAUAUAUAUAAAAAGGGG
rnacentral:lncRNA from 1 species